GUGCCUGUAGCGAAAUGGAUGGCGCGCGCGUUGAACUUCUAAUCCAAAGGUCGUGGGUUUGAAUCCCACCUGGGAUG